CCUACGGGAGGCAGCAGUGGGGAAUAUUGCACAAUGGGGGAAACCCUGAUGCAGCGACGCCGCGUGAGUGAAGAAGUAAUUCGUUAUGUAAAGCUCUAUCAGCAGGGAAGAAAAUGACGGUACCUGAGGAAGAAGCCACGGCUAAAUACGUGGCCGCAGCCGCGGUACUACGUAGGGGGCAAGCGUUAUCCGGAUUUACUGGGUGUAAAGGGAGCGUAGACGGCAGUGCAAGGCCGGAGGUAAAGGCGGGGGCUCAACCCGCGGACUGCUCUUGAAACUGUACGGCUGGAGUGCAGGAGAGGUAAGUGGAAUUCGUAGUGUAGCGGUGAAAUGCGUAGAUAUUAGGAGGAACACCAGUGGCGAAGGCGGCUUACUGGACUGUAACUGACGUUGAGGCUCGAAAGCGUGGGGAGCAAACAGGAUUAGAUACCCGGGUAGUC
rnacentral:rRNA from 1 species